AUGCUUUUUUUUGCAUAUAAACAUAUAAAAAUAGCCAGGCCAGUAGGACUGACUCCUGCUUUAAUUCAUGAGGAGCCCACAGGCCAGUUAAUAUUCACUCUGCGAGCCCAGUGCCUGGAUGCUAAGAGUGCUUCAAGACAGUAGCACUCUACUGCAUGCUCUCCAAACACCACAGCCUGAUGCUGGGCCCCCUGCUGCUCCCGCCCUCGUCAGCUCGCCAACAUCAGGAGCAAGUGGGUGCACAGAGUCCAGCACCAGUAGAACUCAUCAAGAAUCUAGCCUUUGAUACACUCAUUCACACUAGGUAUUUCUGUUCCCUAUAUUUAGUUCUGAACUCUGCAUGCUAAAAUUGUACACCAGACAGACUUGCUUCAGUCACCUAAUAAAACCUCACCAGGCACAUCUCUUCAGAAGAAGUAAUGAAAUCGGCUUCCUCUUCCUAAGGCCGGCUCUUCAGCGCGAUCCCAGGUGCAGCACUGGCAGCAGACAUAGGAUGGAGAAAUGCUAGCCCCAUCCUGGCUGCCCGUCACCACCACCACCCUCCAAACUACCAGGGUCUAGAGAAUUAAAACAUCACAGCCCGUGGCCAGUGAGUUAGAAUCCGAGACCUGUACACUAAAGAAAUUUUCAGACAUUGUUCAAAAUGAGUAUGUGCUAACAUCCAUGGAAGCCUCCUAGAGUACAAAUAUGUCGUUUCCUAGCCCACUGUGGGAUAUUUCCCAGAAGUGAAGACCACCCAGCUCUGGGCAUGCAUCUAAAGGAGGGGCAUGUGCCUAGCGUGAACCAAGCCCUGAACUAGAUUCUCAGCAUAGAAAACAGUAAGUUAGCAGAACCAUAUUACUAUUUCUUAGAAGGAACAAACAAAACCAGAUCUAUAAAAUGUUUAAGCAUAUGACAGAUUAUUUAUAUCAUUGUAGAUGUGCACAUAUGUAAAACAAAAAUGUGAAAAUAUGUAAAACUAGUGAUUACCUCUGAGGAUGAAAAAGAAAUGCCCAGGUCUCACUCGUGUGCGGGCUGCGUAACAGUUCUCAGCACCCAACCUUGCACAUGCUGGUGUGCCCUUCAUGGCUCUCACCAGAACCUGAGGAGAAGACAGGACCCCCAGGAUCCAGAACACCCUCGUUUUGAAUGAAGAUGGAGAACAUUUCAGAGAAAAGAGAGAGGUGGUAGAAGUACUCCGAGCAUGUCAGCCGGCUCAGAAUUUUGGACAACUGAGGCAGGAUUUGGUUGUGCAAACGCAGCACUGCCGUCAUUUCUCGUUGGCAUACCUUCGUUGUGCAUGGUGAUUCCUCGCCCAUACCCAGCCUCCCUCCUCUCCCCAGCCCGUUCCAGCCACUAGCAGACUCAUGUAUACUUUGGUAUCCCAUAUACUUACACAGUCGUAUAUGUUUAUGUAAAAUCUAUGGUCCACGAGUUAGAGCAAGCAUCGUAUUUCUCUCCCUAGGUCUGCAUGACUUUACAGAAUAUGCUCUGCCACUAUAUCCAUUUUCCAGCAGACGGCUUCAGUUUACAGCUGAUGACACCCUGUCCUACAUGCGUACAUGUUUUCUCUACUCACUCUCUGCUGACAGCUAGGCGGAGUCCAUCUUCGCAGACAUUAUGAAAUGUCUGAGCCCAUGUGUGUUGAAACACCGUCUCUGCCAUUUUCCCUCUGAUGCGGCCACUUCCUCCAAUUCCAUAUAAGCCCAACAGAAUUCCCUAGUGCUCUCUGCAGGGACCAGUCAGAGAAUAAUUUCAGUUUUUAAAAAAGCAGUUUGUGGUUUUUUUGUUUUUGAAGUUCUAAUUUAAUUAUCUCAUUUGCCCCUUUCUUUUCUCCCUUCAAACCCUUCUAUACUUGGUCUUUUUCAAGUUCAUGGCUUCUGUUUUCAUCAAUCUUUACUAUAUACAUAAUGUGUGUAUAUAUCCAUGUGUAUAUAUAUCUGCAUGUGUAUACAUACAUAUAUAUGUACAUACACACACACACACACACACGUCUAAAUUUCUAGUCAUAACCUGCUUGGUCUGUAUAAUGUUGUUUGUAUAUAUGUCUUUGGUAUUGGAUAACCAAUUGGUGUGCUCUUCACUGAAGAAGACAAUUUCUUCCACUUCCAGUAUUUCUUAGUUCUUUGUGUAGGCUUGAGGCCUUUUGAGUUCACUGCCACCACCACCCUCAUCUACAUUGGCAUCUAUUUUUAUUGUCCUUUAAAGCACCUGCUUGGGCGGCCAUAUUGGUGUGACUUUGUCAGUGUAGCUUCUGACAUUACUAGGAGCACAACCUAACAUAGAACUCUCUGGUCCUCUGGCUGUUAGACUCUUUCUGCCCCCUCUUCUCCGUGAAAGAAAGAAAGUCGAAUGACAAAAUUUAGAUUAGUUUAGCUAAAUGUUCAUCUUACUUUAACUGCAAAAAGCCAAAGGUUCUGAAAUGUAGUAGUAACUAGAGUAUUGUGGGAUUUCACCAUUACAGAUUUCACUAGAUAAGUAAUUUCCAAAAAGAAUAGGAAACUAAGUUUGGUAUUAUUAAAUAUGUUUGCAGUCACAAGGAAACAUUUAGGCCAAGUGAAUGAAUGAACUGCAAAAAAAUAUAUAUAUUAAAUUAAAAACAUGAGAGCAUAUUAAAGACAUGGCCUUUAAACUUCACUUCAUUUUUAUAUUUGGGCUUGUUUUAUGUUUAUGUGUUGUGGUCAAGGAUAUUAUCCUGAGACCAAGCAUCCCGUCUGAGCUCUUGUUCUUUGCCUGUGACAACACUAGAAGGAGAAAACAACUGGUGUUUUGUUCUAGCUGUGGCCAUGCCUUCCACUUUGGGUGAAGCUGGUGGCAGGUUAAAAGGUCAAACCAGCCCUUGGGUUUUCCUUUCUCAAGGGGUAAUUGAAGCUAAUGCAGAUCUGUCUGGGAUUUUUCAUGUAAUAAAAAUGCACAUUGUCACAUGCCCUCGGGUUUGUUUCCUCUGAGGCCACACAGUCAGUAAUGCAUCUGCCCAUCUAUAAAUGGGGACAUUAUAGAACAGGUCAUUAGAAUGUGUGAGAAGCACACAGCUUGCUGCUGUUUUUAGAACACAUUGAGGUGACAGACAGGGGACAUCCUUUUCAAACUGUCACUGCCAGGUUCCUGACAAGAUUGUAUGUGUGAGGUGCAUAGCCCUGUCAUGUUGUGUCAGCAUGGCCUAUGUGGAAAGGGUUAGAUAGAAGCAGAAUAUGGCUGGAAAACACUGCUUUACCUUAGUGAUAACCAAGAAGGCAGGGGAGGUGUGAAAAGAGUUCCACUGAGGGUCCUAUCAGUGUGAACAGUCUGUUUAUACAGUGUCAAUGUGGAGGAGUUAAGAGGGGUCACAUUCUUCAAUGCCAUUCACAAGAGCACAUCUGCUUUCACCAGAGCUGUGACAGCCAGCAGCCUAGCCGUUAGUCAGGCAGCCUCCAUCUCUGCUCACUGGGAAGCGUGGUGCAUUUCCUGUCUUUGCUUGCAGCCUUUAACAGAGAGACAUGAAUCAGUGCCUAUGCUGUAGAGAGAUCUCUGCUCUAUGAACCUCCACUCCUAAGAAAAUGGUAAGGCCGUCAGACCUUACUAGGAUGGCGUCAGAAGUACCGGGCCUGUAGAAAGAGUGUUCAGUAACUGACCAGCACCACUCCUACCCCUCGCCAAACCCACCGGCCAUGUCUUUGUCACAGCUGCUGCUUCCUCAGUCCUAAGGAGAGCUGGUUUUGGUGGUAUGGUGUUGAAUGACCUCAGAGAAGAAUGUGCGAUACCUGUUAUGUUGCCCCAGCAUAGCCUAUUGCGAGCGCCGUGGUAGCCCUUUUAUGUGAGUUCCCUUGGCCAUUCGAUUUCAUUUCUGACUGACGCCUUUGUAUGUGUGCUAGCCCUGGCAUCCGUACCACAGAACCCACUGCUGUGAUCCCUUUUCUAGAGCUUGAUCCUCAGACAUUCCUAUUUUAUGUCAUAACCGUUUUAUGAUUGAUUUGUAUCUUUAGAUUCUCUGUUGGUGAAGUUUUCUGAAAGCCUCACUUUCACUUGUUUUUUGUUUUUGUUUUUUUGUUUUGUUUUCUCCUUUCUUUCCUUUUGAAUUCCAGUUAAUCUUACACUCAGCUCAAAAGGGAACCAAAUCUUAUGGGGCGGGGGGAGUAUAAGAAAUGGAAUGAUAGGUCUCCAGUUUACUCCCCCCUAAAUGAUAAUGUACAAAUUCAUUACUUAGAGGAGCGGCGUUGAGUGAGAGGAUAGGGAUUCCCACCUGCAAAGAAAAACCUAGAUUCUAAAUGAGAUGCAGACAGGAGUCUGGUCUCCCCACAUCUGCUGGAAAUUAUUCCCUGACAAUUAGAUCAUGGCAUUAACUCAUGUCACUUGAUAGCUAAAUUGUCUUCUGAAGGCUUUCUCCACAGCAUCAGUUAAGACAUUUUUUGUCUUUUAGAAAAUUAUUUUCUCAUCCUUUUGAUGCCAAACGUGAUCAUUAAUGCUGAAUUGCUAGCUUUAAAGAGAGAAUUUUGAAAUUAGGAAAUACUCAAUUGACUUUCACAUCUAUUUUUCAUGCUCAAUGUAGGAUAAGACUGUAUCAGGAUAUUCAAACUGUUCAAUAAAAAACACACCAGAAACGAAGUGGCCCACAUCUAUAAUAAAAAAUAUCAUCCCUUGGGGCUGGGGAUUUAGCUCAGCGGUAGAGCGCUUACCUAAGAAGCACAAGGCCCUGGGUUCGGUCCCCAGCUCCGGGGAAAAAAAAAAAAAAAUAUCAUCCCACUUAAAAUACAUGAAUUGUAGUUAGUUCCCAACAGUUGCAGUGAACUGAUAAUCUGUGGACUUCCUUCUCUUGUCGUGUGAUAUGGAUAAAGCAGCAUUUAAUUUUCUUUUUUCUUCCCCUCCUCACCCCCUCGCCCCCCCCCCGCCCCCCCCCGGAGCUGAGGACUGAACCCAGGGCCUUGCGCUUGCUAGGCAAGUGCUCUACCACUGAGCUAAAUCCCCAACCCUUAAUUUUCAUUUUGAGGAAAAUACUUUGUUUGGGGUAAGCAGCGUGGAUCAUUUUUCUUCUACUCUAAAAUCUUGUUAUAAUACUGGAUUAUGGGCGCAGAUAUAUUACGGAUGUUUUAACUUACAACAGGGAUACAUGACUUGUAAGGUCUAAGUCCAUGACAUAGGAAAUCUCAUGUGUGUCAGCCUGGCACAUCCAAUGUUGAACAUAGCUACCAUCCCUAGCCUUGCCCCUCCUGUCCCACUUCACGGUGGUUUUCCCAUCUGUGCCUUGCAAUGCCAGCUUUUCGGUUGCUGAGGCCACACAACCUGGGCACCUGUCUUUACCUCCCACACUCAAGCCGUUACGGAAUUCUGUUGCUUCUCCCUUCAGCAUAGACCCAGAAUACCACUGUCUCUCGAUGCCACCACCCAUGUGGCUGUGACCGUCCAUCUUCACAUGGGCUACUAAGAGAGGGCUGAAUCUAGAGUCCUCACUUUCACCCAGCUCCGUCUAACAUUUUAAACAUGGCAGUCAGUGGAAGUUUUUAAAGUGUAAGUCACAGUGUUAUACUGUUUAAACCACAGGUAAUUCAGAGUAAACCUUCCGGCCCUUACAGUGGUGUGUGAGGCUCUGUGGAAUUGUCACCCUGCUCCUCAGUCUCCCUGACCUCCUCUCUCCCCACCCUCCCCACACACCCCCCUCCCUGGCUGCUCGCCAAGCUCUGUGUUCCAUCCCGGGGUCUUUGUGGUAGCCACCCUGCUACCCAAAGCACUGUUUCCCCCCGCCCUGACAGGGUGCCCCUUGGCUCCUUCGGGUCAGUGUCUAGGUGAUGCUUCAGAGAAUUCAACUCUACCUUAGAAAUGCAGUACUCUCCUUUCCACACGUUCAGUCUCCAUUAGCCACUGAGCACUUUACCCAAUAACGUACGUAAUGCUCACACACUGUCCCACAAGGCCAGAACCUGCUAUAUUCAUUUACAGAUGACGGGUCUAGUCCCAGGCCUUUCACUGAGCUGGAGAGAUGGCACAGCCAACCAGAGCACUUGGUGCAAUUUCUGAAAACCCAAAUUCAGUUCUCAGGUUCCACAUGGCUCCUGACUGCCUGUUACUCCAGUUCUAGGAGUACCAGUGCCAGGCAUGCCCAUAGCACGAACACAUGUGUUCAGGCAAACAUCAAUACACACAAAAAAAUACUUUUAAAAGGUUGUUUUUCUUGUACUCAGUCCAUUAGAAUGAGGUUCUUUUUUUUUUUUUUGUCAACUUUUUUUUAACUAGUAUUUCAAUGUUCAGAACCUAACAGAAAGCAGAUAUCCAAUAAAUAUUUGUUAAAUUGACAGACAAGCCAUGACUUCCCAGAAAGAACUUUGGAAGGGCCAACAUGAGUUCAUUACAUGCUCAUAGCUUAGUGUCUUCAUGAAAAGAGGUUGUGUUUAUGAUAAACACGCAGAAGGGUCCAGCCUCGGCUCAAGAACAACUCCAACAGUAGAUAAAUAAUCUCUAGAUAUUGGAUUCCCUUCUCCCAGACAGAAACAACAAAAUCCAUCUAAUCCCCUCACCAAGGCCCUGUCAUGGCCUAGGGAAACACUGGCGGGAAAGCUGCUCUCACAGGCGAAGACCUGUAAUGAGAAAUGCUCAUUUAUAUCUGACCCUUGUCUAAGCACUGUGUUAGCUCAUUUGCUUCUUAUAAGCAACCUUGUGACGCGUUCACGUCUAUCCUCCUCUAUUUUCUAAGUUGGGAAAAGAUUUGGGCCUUAGUGAAGUUACUUAUCACAGAACACAGAAGCUGGGAUACCAGACUGAGCCCAGAGCUUCUGCCCCUGAUCACCAGUCUUCUGAGAUUCUCACUACAGGAACCAAGGUGCCUCUCUGGUAGACAUUCCACUGACUUAUAGAGUUUAUGAUCGGGGGGGGGGGGGGAGGACCACAGGCUUCAGUUGAAAAUAAUUCUAUAGGUAAAACUGAAAUGAAUUCCAGAAGGACCAAUCAGUACUGGUUAGUCAGACCAACCUAGAACCUCGUCACGGCGGGGCGUUUUGACCAUAAUCUGAGAGGAAAGGAAAACAUGCAACUGAGGAGACAGGUCGUGUUACAGGUGGGAAGAAAGUUGUGCAGACAGACUAUUAAGAAAAAUGUUAGGGACAAUGAUGUGUCUGUGCAAUGCCAAAACAUCUGGUCAAUCCCACUUUUUUUUUAAAAGCCAACCUCCAUCGAUGUAGUGAAUUUCUUCAGUCAAUCCAGAUGUUUGGCGGCUCGUAGACAAAACACCCAGAUGAUUAAGUGAAGAUUUGACGGAGUUGACUGGAUUAGCCAGAUGUUGCAGCAUUGUAUAGACGCUGUCAGGACGUUUCCUUGGCUGGAGUGGGGUCCAGCUGCUAAGGAGACGGAUGGUCUGGGCAGUGAGGGGAGCUUUCGAGCAGAAGACCUGGAUUGGAUGCAACUGGGAACCGCUGCACGAGGUGCGCGGUGGAAGAGAAUGCCGGGUGAGGAGAAGCAAGAAUAACAGUGAGAGGAAAAGCUGCAGACAGGAAAGAGGAGCUUAGGAGAGCGCAGGUGCACGUGAGGUGAUUAAAGCCCGGACCAGAAUGCUGGGAAAGUGACAAGAAGAACCGGAUCUGAAAAACAUUACAGGAAGAGAACAGGAAGUCAUGAUGGGCUAGACAAGGGAGUAAAAUGCACAUCACCCCAAGGCUGGAGACAGCAAGGCCUGGGAAAGCAGCUGCUGGCAGUGUCCCCACAGGAGUGAACCAACAGGGGACCCCCCCUCCACCUCCCGAAAGCCUCCGCUCAGAGGCCGCUGCCAGGUUUGCAGGUGCCGAGAACACACAUCCUUCAACUGCUGGGUCCCACGUCAGUUCGUCAGUUCGUCAGUUUGGUGCUGGGUUCACACUAUCAGGUGGACAAAGCCAGUGAAGAGGGUGCAUUUUAACGAGAUUUGCUUUCAUGUAAUGUGCAGCGUGAUUGGAGAAAUAUAAAGCAUAAUUAUGUGCAGUAAGAUUAUGAUAAACUGCACAGGGCCUAUUUGAUAGCAGAUUGGUGUUUGAAAAGCCUGUCUAUAAGCAGGCGUUAAAGGCUGAGCACAAGCAUUUACUGGUGUGAUUCAAAGGUCUGAUUUCGAAAAGUUUGGAAAUCACAAGCCUUGGCUUAGACAUUUCACAAAAUUCUUUCUUAAAUGUUCAAAUCUUACUUGAUAAGAAUCAAGCUUGUCUUUAGACACAGACAUGGAUUUCAGUGUAUUAGCGUUAGCCCCGUGAUGGUGCUACAGUUGAAAUCUUUAAAUGUCCCCCCAAGGCCCAUCUGUUUAUAGCUCGGUUCCUAGCCUCCAGCACUAAGGAAGGUGGUAGACGUUUAGGACAUCAACCUUGUGGAAGGAAGCUGUGUCAUGGGAAGUAUGCUCUUGAAGGAGAUGCUAUCUCUCUUUUCCUUUCCCACAGUCUUUGAGGUCAGCAGCCUCCGUGCUCCCACAGUGGUCUGAUUUGCUCCACAACAAUGCAACCAGGUAACCACGGGCCAAAACUGCUGAAACCCUGUGCCAAAGUAAGCCUUCCCUCUGCCAUGGAUUCAUCUCAGGUAUUUGUCAUAGUGAGGGGAAGCUAGCACACAGGGAGGGUGCUCUGGUUACUUAAGAACAUCCUGAGCAUUUACGGAAUUCGUGGUUUUUCACGUGUGCAGUCUCUAGCAUUUUCAGCUCCAGGCCCAUCGGCCCACACAACCAGUCGGGUGCCCUUUAGAAACACACUGAGAUUUUUCUCCAAAUACUUGCUUGUUGAACAGAGAAAAAAAAAAAAAAAAAGCAAACCAAACCAAAUUGUUUUCAUAGUUUGAAAUACAACUCCAUGCAACGCCCCAGGUUCAAGCCCCAGAACCAAAAAAUAAAAGUAAAAAUAAAACAACAAAAAUAGCAGAAGGAAACACCUUUCAGAGAGACUAAGCUCCGUUCACGUUUUUUGCACUAUCUCUCCCCUACCCAAACCCACUCAACCCUGAAGUGGAUAUUUAAGGGUCCUUUGGAGAGUCAGUUGUGUUGGGUGGUGCUUUGCUAGGGCAAACACGAGAAGGAGAGUUUUUCUAAAGUGGACACAGGUGAAAGACUGAGCACACUCAUGAAGGAAUGUUUCACAGAAGCAGACAUAGAAUGUUCUGCUAAAGCAAACACAUGAAAGAACAUGUGACGAAGGGUUCUUGGUUAACAACACGCAUGUAUUGGUCUACCAUGCACUGUAUAGUUGAGCUCCAUUGGUCAGGACUCUGAGGACUCGAGCUGAGGCAAGGCACGUGGAGGACCCGUGAUGUUUGGAGGGUACAUAUAGGACUUGACGGCAUGAUGGAGACAGCUAGGCUUGCUGGUCCAGAUAGCUAGCUGUGCAGCACUUGUGGGUCUAGCAUCUUUUCUGAUCUUCACUUCCCUGAGAGAGGCACGGCUAAGAACUUCCCCUGGCGUUCGUGUUGGUCCCUCCUGUUGACUUGAGCUGAGGCUGAGUCCCGGCUGUCUCUGCUAGGUCACGUCACUGCUGUGGCUAGCCUGACUACUGAACUGGUGGACACACUGCUGGUGUAUCCGUGAAGUGUUUGCUGGUGGAUCAAGCUGCCGCCACCAACCUGUGAACUGAAGUGGGGAUCUCUAGACAGCACAGACAGGAGUUGCUCCAAAGAACCUUUCUAAACAGGUUCACUCCCCUGCACCCCAUCUUCCACCCUGUAUCCUUUCUUUCACACUACCUCUGGUGGGUGGUGGGCUACAAGGAAGACUAAAGCGUUUAAGAAACACCCUUAAAAAAUAGGAUUUGAAAAGAAUUAAAGUUACACCACCCCCUACAAACACCCUAGAAGAAGGCAGAAUGUAAGAGUAGAAAUGUGUUCAUGUAUUGCAGUCACCCUGGGGAGAUGAAGGGAUCAGGGAUCCUAUUGUCACUAAUUCUCCACACUCAGAAAGGACAAGUCUGGGUAGGGGUCCAGGGCCUGUUGUGUUGUUGAUUUUGUUGUCGUUGCUUAUUAAGCUCCCCCAACUAAUUGUGAGGCUUGGUUUUGUUUUUCACUUCCUGAGAGAUCAGUCCUGGACAGAGAGAGAGACUCAAACUGCAAACCUUGGUUUAAUGUCUUUGCUCACCUAAGAGUCAUGUCGCCCUAAAGCUUCCUUUGAGAAAUGAGCUCCAAGGCCAAUUUACCCUAUCCUUUGAUGGUAGGAUUGUCACAGAUGCUGCCUGAAGUCUGAUGCAAUCAGCCUGAGAACCCAGGAUGAUAGGAGGACCUUUGUCUUGUUCUCAAUUCCCAGCACUACUACAGGCUGGGUGGUGGUGGGGGGAGGGGAAUCAAUGAUCUUGAUAAGUCUCUCCCAGUAUUCCAAGGCUGAACAAGUCACUUAUUUAUCAAAUAGAACGCCAGUUGGUUUCUCUAGAACAAUGAGCGAUUCAGGUGUUUCAUAUCUGCUUCCUGUAACCCUUCUAGUAUAGAAAGGAGAUUUAGCGGAUAGCAAGUUAACUUUUUCAAAAAGCUACACCAAGGUUAGAGUGUUUGUUCUCUUAGAUGCCCACAAGAAAAUGUUCUGGAUUGUCCUUUUUUUUUUUCCUUGAUAGUUUGGUUUCAUUUGCCCUGGUAUCAACGUAUUUUCCCGGACCUCUUUUUCCCCAAGGAUGUAGGAGUAGACAUUGGGAGACUUUUGUUUAAAAGCCAGUCAGAGUAGCACAGUGGACAGUCGGACGUGCGCUUAGCUCACUUUGUCGCUUUUUAAGUACACUGGACAUCACGUCCACAAGCAUCGCUGUCGGUCUGAGAGGUGGUUAAUUCUCCAGACUCUUUCAAGUCUCUUCUAGCAACCACAGCAAAUAGUGUCAUGCCCCUGUGGGAGGGUUGGGAGGGCAACAGAGGGCUGUGAAGGAAAAACCCUUGGGAAUGUUCACAACACAAAGGUCUUUUGUCCUGAACCAAAUCGAAAUUGAGAGAUUCAUUUCCAUUGAUCCUCUUAUCGUCUGUGUAAAUACAUUAAUGCUCACCACCUCGAUCUGAACCACAGAACUGAUACGGGUGCUUAAUUGAUUCUGCUGCCUUAGUAUAACUGAUCUCAUAGAAAGGCUUUUGAGUACUGAAUGGUUUUUUUUUCUAGAGGGAAACUGCCAGCUCAUACAAUGACUUUGUAAAAGCUGAGAGGGGAAGGCACCAUUCCCAAGGCACUUCCCACGCGUCAGAAAUUGUAAGAAUGAACUUCGGGAAAAUCCUUCCCUGCAUCUGCAAUGUAAGAGUGCCUGCCCUGCCAUUUUCUUGUUUCUCUGUUACAUUCCAGUUCCCUCUGGAGCCAGAUCUUUGUCCCUACAACAACAUGGCCCUGGAGCAAUUGUUAAGCAGAUUGACCCUGCUUGGCCUGGUCUGUCUCUAUGUCCCUUAAAGAGACUCCGUGUUGGUUGUUGAUUGAUCGACACAUACAUGCAUAGAUAGAUGAAUAACAUGUCCUGAGAAUUCAGACUAGACAGGAAAUCCAGAACAGGAUCCCCACCACUGCCUCUGGCACCUGACUUUCUAAAGAGCUCUGGGAAGAUAAUUCCUUACCAAGCUUGCCAACCAAUGACCACCCAACAAAAUGAGGAACAAAAAACAUUCUUCCCAGCCCUGAGGAAUAUGAGUAGUAAGUACUCUUCUACGGGCUGGUAAUAGUCUUCGGUCUCCACAAGCCACUGGCUGCUGCGUCACCGUCUCCUUGGAAACACACCUGGGGAAGCCCUCUCUUUAUGCUCAGCGCAGGCUGCACAUUCAGUGUCUUCUCUCCAGAGCGAAUGCCCUCCGUGCUAACAAGGGCGAGAACUACUCACGAGUUAAGUACAUAACAUGGAAACUCCUAGAAUAUCCCAGUGAACAUCUCCCAGUUUGUUCAUUAACAACAAGAGUUUUCUGUUUCUCAAGAAUUACACCAAGAGCCAUCUGAAGAUGGGGCAGCCAUUUAAAAGUCUGUACCAGGCAAAGAAGUCUUCUGGCUUCUGGGAAGUGUCCUCUUUGUAUUUUCCUUGCUGUUGGUAGUUAAGAGCUUAGCCCAUAAACAGAGGAAACGGUAUUUUGUUCUGUUUUCCUUUCUAUUAGUGAAGUUUUCUCCAAUCACCUGCCAUACUAAGGAUAAAGUACUACAUCGACAAAUUCUAAAACCCAAGUUCUCCCUCUUCUGGGCCAACACAACAGACACAAGUUUUGGCAUUUCCAUCGUCCUUUAACAUUACUACAGAACAAGAAAAUGGCUUUGGUGGCCACAGAUCCAACAUGUAUACAGUUAAACCUUAAGAAAACUGCUUCCAAGGCAGGACUCAGAUGCUCCAGAAAUUGUUGGAAUGGAUCAACAACAACAACAACAACAACAAAAAUAAAAAUAAAAAAUAACAUUUCAAAUCCUAGUCGCUUUGCCAGCAGGACCUCCUUGAGAUGAACUCCACGGGAAAGGGUUCCAUCUUCCAGAGUGGAUAUUCACUUGUUUGCUUUUCCAGCCAGGAGUCUAGGAGAAGCCAGCAGGCAAUUCAGUCAUUUGGUAAUGUCCUUCCCUCUGCCAAGGUGGAUUAAUGCUGGGAGAUCUUACAACUGGUGAGUAAUAGGUUAGUGUUUACAGAUCCUCCGAGAUCCCCGAGGUGUGAUUAUUUUCAUCUGUAGGCUUCUGUCAUCCCCCAAAGGGUGCUUUGUCAUUUCCUCUACUCUCCCUUCACUGGCCUCUCCAGACUGCGCUACAAGGACAAGGCCGGGGAGUCAUCACCGGUCUCCUCAAACCCAACUGGUAAACACUUCCCAGACCCUGCUGAAGUGAGAGGUUGUCCCACACUUAACACUGGCUUCCUUUCUACGGGGUUAGGGAUAGUUAUUUAUUAAGAUGUGAUUUUAAUAGCCGUGUUCUCACCCCAGCACUGUUUUAUUAUGCCCCUACGUCACCCUCAGAGUGGCCUUAGAAUGUCAUAGGCCUGUGAAGAUCCCAGUCCGUGAACAACCCCGCAUAUGGAAGAUGUGGUUUUAGAACUGAAUGCUCCUUUCAUUUUAAGCUGUUCUUGUGGUUCACUCCCCCGCAGCUGCUGUCACUGCCGCCACCACACUUCUGAAACUCAUGUUCUGCUCCUUUCUGGAUCCCUAAAAGCCUCUGACAUCAAAGAAGGCCACAUCCUAGAGUUUGAGUUCUGCACACACAAUAAAACUAGUUAAAUAAACUCUAAAGCUAAAAACAAGUAACAGACACUAUGCUUGUCUAGUGUGCUUGAGGCCCCUGACUCAAACACCAGCCCCGCAAAAAUAUAAAUGAAUAAAAUCCAAAAAGGAAAUAAAAAUAAAAUUAAAAGCUCAAGUUGUGUUGGUGCCACCAAGUGGCUUGGAUUCCUCAAUGACCUACCUCAACCCCGAGUUCCCUCCUUGAUAAGAACAUAUUUCUAUUCCAAAGGAUCAAGGGCAUGGAGAGGCUAACUCUGCCCCAGUGUGAGAGGAUGCUCAGUAAGAGCCGACCACUUCAGAAAUGGUUCUCUGUAGCGUUUCCUUUUCCAGUCAGCCUGGUUUAGAACUCUUAGCUAAAACUGGGUUCUCUACGAGGGAGGGGGCUCUCCAGCCCCUUGCCAUUGGCUGAGCUUCAAAUCAAGAGUUGUGCAGCGUCUCCUGGUUCUAAUCCCUUGCUGCCUUCAUUCGUGAACCUGAACGCAAAGUCUUUCCUGAGCCCUCACUACCUCUUUUCCUUCUGGUCAUUCAGGAGAUCAGGGACUUAGGAUGUCUUUGAAGGUCCCUUGAACUCUUGAGUCAAAUCUUAAGGUCACCCAUAACAGCCAAGCCAGAAGUUUGGACAACUGGGCCAAGUGUUUCUCAGAACCUGGGAAGUCCUUAUCACCAAGUACAUCCCCACAGAGGCACUGUGUUAUUGCCUAAGCCAAAUGUUGGGCCUGAUAUUAGGUAGUGGAGGCCAUAAGCCAGAGGUCCUGCCUUGGCUGGAACAGAAUCACCCAGGAGUUUGUUUAAAAAAAUAAUAAUAAAAAAUAAAUAAAUAAAAAUAAAACAGGUGCCUGCCUUCCCAAGCUGGGGACCCUGUUCUCAAAAGAUUUAGAGGCUAUCCUGAUGAUGGCCCAGGUUGGGAAACCCUGCUUAGAUCAGCCUCCAAUCUGUUCCUCCGGUGAUCUGGAGAGAAGCUGAAUUUUUGAUAAGUCAUCACGUGCUUCCAACCGAUCACCCAGCCUCAAGCGGAUAGCCUCUGAUUAGGGCUUCCUAACUCCUUUGUCUUACACCUCACUCCAUUAGGCCGGGAGAGAACAGCAUAUUCGAGCCAAAGUGAUACAAUCAAAAGAGAACAAGGCUUGUAGAAUCAGCAGCAGCUUGUUUGGAACAAUGGAUAUGAGUUCAAAAGAUUUAAAAGCCGGAGACUCAACACUGAUCAAGACGCAGAUAAAAGGACUGCUGUCUGCCAAGGCAAUCUGACACGCUACAGCACUCACUGUGCAGCUAACCCUAGUGGGACCUUUGCUUUAUAGAGAAAGGAAAAAGGAAAGAAAAUAGGGGAUUGUGGGAGCUGGGGAUUUAGCUCAGUGGUAGAGCGCUUACCUAGGAAGCGCAAGGCCCUGGGUUCGGUCCCCAGCUAGGAAAAAAAGAACCAAAAAAAAAAAAAAAAAAAUAGGGGAUUGUGGGGAAAGCCUUGAUGCAGUUCAAACAAAGGAGCAGGGCGGUAACCUUAGGCCAUCUUGUUGGAAGAUGUCCGCUCUGUCUUCGUAAACCUAAACUCAUCUCCAGGCCACCCUAUUCUACACCUUGACCACUCCAGGACGGUGUUCUUCAGUUGACAGUCACAUCCAACUAACCAAUUAAAUAACACAGAAUGGCACAGCCUAAGCUCCCUCACUCCCGUCCGCAGCUCCGUGGCCUCUCCAGACAGAGCCCAGCGAAUCCCACUUCACAUGCUCAAUCUGUUCUUCCUGUUUGCUAAAAUGUAAAUGAGGUCUAGCGUCACCCAGAACCCUUAGAUUUUUAUAAAACCACUCCAAAUAUAAACACGGCUCUCUAUAGAUUCCAUCUCUGACCUUUACGUAAGAAUAGGCCAAUCACGACAUAGCUUCAUAAUCCCUCACAAACCCAUUUCUCUUCCUUCUGUGUUCCUCACAGUCCCUCAUCCCUCAUCUCAAGGGUGGCCGGGAGGGUGAGCCGCCAGCCUGGCUCGAGACCCACGCCUGCAGGUGGACAAAACAUCCCGCUACUCCCCCAAGCUACGGAUUGCUGUGUUCUAACGAGAUGAAAUCGUUAAAAUGGCUUUAAUAAAAAUAAAAUCACGGAUGACAUGUGCCUAUGGUACAGAUCUCGUUAAACCUCACGGCUGUAAAACCCUAUACUUUAGAAGCGUGGCCUCUCCGUCCAAGUGACUUACAAGGGGUCCAGGAUCUGAUUUGCCCAUUUUGGCUCUGAUACUCAAGCAGGCCUGAGCCAAACAACUGUCUUCCCACAGUGGUGAUACCCAUCUUUAAGAGCGCUGCUAGUAGAUGCAACUGUAGCCAGGACGAAAUGAACCUGUCUGGCCCGGGGAAGGACCUGCUGCGCAUGCGCGUCCCGUCAGAGUAGGUGCAGAGGGUGAUUGAUGGCCAAGUCUUCUGGGGUACCCUGAGGUCUCACCGUGCCCUACUUUUCUGGGAUUAGUCUUGACUUCUAAUUAAUCAGCACCUUCCGGCCUUCUUAGGGUGAUGUCAUCUCUGCUAGACACCAACCAGGCAGAGCUUCGAUGGCUGCCAAGGCAGAGACCCGGGCUACUGAGGCUGUCACACCUAACCCCACGAGGCCGGCCACAACCAAGUCCACCCACAGAGCCCCUGUUUGCUUUUGUUAAUUACGAAAGCGCAAAUACCCUCUUCUUUUAUGUCAUAAUUGUGAAGCUAGAUAGAACCUGGGUUUUGCUUUGUUUUGUUUUUUUAAGGUGAAAUAUCAGGGCCCAGGAAAAUCUCAGGUAGUAGCGCCUUGCCUGUGGGUACAAAGCUCUAGGUUUUGGCUGAAGCAUCUCAAAGAAAAUAGCUCCCAAGGGGGAACGUUGUAUAAUCAUCCAAAGCCAUUCUUUCCAGACUAGCAUUUGUUCUCUUUGAUGUCCUCCUUUCUAACCUUUUUCCUUUCUCCAUGCAACAAAAUUUCAGGUGUUCAAUAGUGCCCACUUUAGUAGAUAUUUUAUACGUUUUUAAUUUUAGCAGAAAUGUAAAUUUUUAUGAAAUGUUGCUUUAAAGCUUUUAGAGUCACCUUAAUUGAUAUGCUAUCAAGUAUUUAAAUGUUUCGGGGCUGGAGGGAUGGCUCAGUGAUUAAGAGCACCCGACUACUCUUCCAGAGGUCCUGAGUUCAAUUCUCAGCAACCACAUGGUGGCUCACAACCAUCUGUAAUGGAUCCAAUUCUCUCUUCUGGUGUGUCUGAAGACAGUGACAGUGUACUCACAUAAAAUAAAUAAAUAAAUCUUAAAUGUUUCUAUUUGGGGGCAUUCCCCCAUUCUGAUGUUUGCAGUUUGUCCUAAUACUCAGUACCGGGAGGAGAAUCCUUUUACGUCACCCUCUGCUCAUUGGGCCUGUGUUUGAUUGAUCGCUCUUGGAGCAUGCGCACUCAACACAUUUCCACCCGGUUGGUACUGGAGUGACUGAAACCUGAAGAACCUCUGCUUUACCGUGUCGCUGAUGAAUGGGAAGCAGAACAGGGCAGGUUCUUUAGGGCAGCUUCUUGGUCUAGACCCUAGCCUGGAUAGGUGGAAGAGUUUUUGCCUUGGGGAGAGGGGUCAGGGGAGAAGGCGAACAGAGCCUUAAGAGGACAACUCUCCGAGAAAAGAAAUGAGUAGUGGGUUUUAGAGCAUUGCUGACAAACAUUCAGUAUUCUCCGAGUCACAGCGCCAGUGCUAUUUGUGGAAAUUGUACUUGUCUUUUAUUAAAGGAACUGAAAAUUAUGGUCUCAAGAAACUAAGCCUGAGUGAGCAAAGAAUAGCCUCGCUCAGUGCAGUUCCACCCUCUCGAAGGCCCUGUCGCACGUCACGAAAUGGCAGGGCAGAGUUUCUGCUAGAUUCCGGGUCAUGAGCCGUUUGAAAUGUCUGGGUUCCUGGCUCCUGCAAUCUCACCUGGAAUAAAGUGUGGGUAAUGGAAGAGAGGGUGGAAAGAAGACUGCCUGAAGGAUCCAUCUUCCCAGACGCCUUUUGUCAAGAAGGUCUUAGACACCCUGUUGCUAUUUAUUCUGGUUAGUAAAGGGCAUGCAGCCCUGCUCAUGGUGUCCUUGUCUGGGGGUGUUAUUUAUGGCCGAAUCUUCAACAGGAAGAACCUGACUUGGCAUCGCCCUCUGUUUGCCAUGGUUGACUUUCUCUUUAUGAAAGAUACACAGACUUUGUCUUCAGCUGACUCAGUGUUCUGAAUGCUAAUCUGUGAGGAAGGCCAGACUGACCAACAGCCCACACUCUGUCUGAAUUUAUAAAGUAGUUGGCAAGUUUGUGACAACGGAGACAUCAGUUCCUGAGCCAUCUGAAACCUACCAGUGUAACAGUGACAUCAGGGUCCUAAAGAGGACAACAAGGGUAGUUCUCCCCAAUCCCAGAGGUGGUGACUAUCAGUCUCUUCAGAACAACGCCCUUUCCUGGCAAUGUAGCCAUCACCCGCUUACUUCACUUGACUUUCGCCAUGAUCUCCUCCAGCAUCUGAGAGAGAAGACCCAGCCUUUGGAUACCCACCAGCAACAAACCUACCAAUCCCCACAUCUCCACAUCUCACUUAUUUUGCUCCAUAAGGGUUCUCGCUUGUUCCCAUUUCUGAAGAAUGGUUUCCUUCUUGCCGUCUGGCUCGCCCUGGGUUGGAAGAAAGCCAACUCCAUUCUCCUCAUGUCCAGUGAGGUCAGCUCCCCUCAGUCACAUUCUCUAGACGCUUGUUGACCCUGCUAUGUUGUCCCGGUAAAGGUCACCCAGCUUUUGAAUUCUUUCCACCACCCCCAGUUACGUGUGAUACCUUCUUAGAAACUUAAAAACAACAUUUAUUUCCUCAGUGGUUUUGUAUAUUUCCAUUUGGCAAACUUUAUUUUGUUCCAUGUGUUUCUAAGGGAACAGAAACGAAAAUGGUUUAUGUCCCACUUCCUACACUGGCCUGCCGUUGUCAGGACCGGAAAUGCCCUCAGUCCAAAGUGGGUACACCCAACCACAAGCUCAGCCUCAAAGCAGAGGCCGUGUAAGCUACGAGGACAAUGGGCAUUGUUUGGUUGUUGGAACAUCUACUACAGUGCACUUGCCUUAAUUGGUGACUUUUUUUUAAUAGAUCCAUGCCACUUUGUCUGGAUAUAAUUACAGUGUAAACGUGGUUUGCGUUAUAACUAUUACCACAACAACCGAGUCCUGUUAUUAAAAUGAAAGUGAGGACAGGACAAGAAGUCAAGAUGAAGGGCAGUCAUUCCUGGGCGGGGCUCACGGGGGCUGCUGGAGUGCAGGAAGCAUUCUAUUUGAGGAACUGGGUGGUAGUUUUCAUUCUGCCACAAUUUGUUGGGUUCAUUUAUAGACAUGUUUUUCUAUAUAUUUGUCCUGCUCUAAUAAGUGUAAUUUUUAUAAAAAAAGCAAAAAUAAGACAGGAUUUGAUUGAGGCAGGCAGCUUAGGCCAGCACUCCUUCUUCCACAGCAUUAUUUUAGUGUCUACUUUGUGAUCCACGGGACGCAAACACUUGGACAUAGUACAGAGAGGGUAAGCUUCAGUCCACAAGGCCUGACCUCAAGGAGAAUACAGUCCACAGGUAGUUACAAUACACACGAGAAGUGCAAGAGUUAGGUAAUUAUGUUUAAUUCAUAUAUUAGUUAUAAAGAAUAGCCAUUUGCCCUUUCUCCUCCUUGGGUGUCUGAAGGCAAGAUGGGUCACCAGCAGCUCUACUGGAGUCACCCACAAAAGUUCACCUAGGGUUCUCGCUCUUGCCGCGUCUGCUCUAACCGCCACGGUCUGAUCCGUAAAUACGGGCUGGACAUGUGCUGACAGUGCUUCGGUCAGUGUGCGGAGGACAUGGGCUUCGUUAAGCUGGACUAAGGGACCUGAAUGGAUGAUUCAACUGUCUACAGUGAAACCGAUCAUGCUAGUCUUUGUGCACACAGAAUAAAAAAAAAAAAAAAAAGAAUAGGCAUUUACACUGUGACACUUUCAUAUGUGUAAAUAUGUGUUGAUCACAUUUGUCCCUUUGUCCCUCUCUUGUUCUCCUUCUACUCCUGCUGAUCCCUUCCUCUUCUUCCUCUUCUUCCUCCUCCUCUUCUCUUCUAUUCCUCCUCUCCCUCCUCUUCCUCCUCCUCCUUCCUCUUCUUCCUCUUCUCCUUCUUCUUCCUCUUCUCUUCUUCCUUCUCCUCUUCCUCUUCCUCUUCCUCAUUUUCCUCUUCUUCCUGUUUCCUUUUUCCUCUUCCUCUUCUUCCUCCUCCCCCUCUUCCUCAUUUCCCUCUUCUUCCUCUUUCCCCCUCCUCCUCUUCCUCCUCUUCUUCUUCCAACCCUGUUGUAUUUUAUUUGGUUUCUUAUUAUACCCUAGGUUAACUAGCUAAAGAUCAUUUGCAAAAGUAAAGUCCCUGCCAGGGGUUAUACCACCAAAGAAAAUGUCCUUUCCUUCCCUCUACAACCCUAACCCUCCCAUCGACACUUGGGGAAGAUGAAAUCUCAGAGGAAAUAGCUGUAUAGCCGUCACCCACAGUAGGAUCGAGGUGGUCGGCUCUCAUGUGGGCCUUCUGUCAGUAAGCGUAAACGUUUGAGACCGGUACUGUCUCACUCUAGUCAGCCUUCUACCCCCCUCCACUUCUCCCUCUGGCUCCUAUGUUCCUUUCCCCUCCUCUUCCACUGUGUUUCCCAAGGGCUCAGCAUUUGGACUGAGGUAAUAAUUCUUAGUUUUGGCAAAUCUACCAUGCUGAGAUGUGAACAUUAGGCCUAAGGUGUACGUGAGAACCAACCGUGCAACCUUUGCGGCUUUUCUUCAUUGGCCCUAUUCAAAUGUAAAAUUAUGUUUUGAGUGUCAUAAAAAUGACUGUGAGCUAGAGAUUAUUUUUGUAUUAAGGUAAUUCAAGGUGACUUUAUAGACAAAAGGACAUUUCGAAGGAGCCUUAAAGGAAGGGUGAGAUUAUUAGAUAAGGAAACAGGAAGGCCAGGGGGGGAGGGACACAAAAUACAAGGAAAACUGUGUCUUAAGGCAGUACAGAGUUCUACAAACCUGCACAGCUGAGCAAGAAAGAAAUGUGGAGAACGCAUGGGAAAGGAACAGCGCCUCAGAGGAACUAAGACGAAUCUUCAGUUCUUUGACUUUAAUUUGUGGUGUUGGGAUCAAAUCUUGCACAUUAGACCGUACUUUUCCCACUGAGCCAUACCCCCAGGUAAAUGGUUGUUAGAAGGUAGGUAGCACACGAACACACACACACACACACACACACACACACACACACACACACCCUUCUGAAUUCCUGAUAAAAUCCAUUGCUUUACAAUGCAUGUUCAUUUGAAAAUAGACAGAAACUAACACAAUUAAGUCAGCCCCACACACCAUGAGUAUGCAUCUGUGCAGAGAGAAAGGAGCAU